AGUAGUAAUACAGUAGAAAAACAUUGGAAAUUUAAAAGGAAACUUCAUAAUCUAAGAAUAACAGCUAUAUGCGAUAGUCAUCCGACGACAUUACCCGUGACAUAGUGGGAACGUGCCCUUAAGUUGUGGCUACCGAUUUCAGGCGUAGUUAGUAUCAAGAGAGACACGACGAGUGGACAACGUGCCUACAAGAUGCGACUUCUCUCAACUUUAUUGUGUUGUGUACUCUUCGGAACCCUCACAUCACUAACGGCUGCCCUCAAAACAUGCGACCAAUGCGUUAAGAUAACAGAAUGUGCACCGGCUAUGAAUGAUCUCCGCACAAAUCGCAGUCCGGCGGCAGUUAAAAAACUGCAAGAUGCACUUUGUGGCUUUGAUGGCAUACAAAAGGUCUGCUGUUCCGAUUUCUUUUCAAGUCGAUCUUUGAUUGAAGAAGUAGAAAC